UAGGGAAUCUUCCGCAAUGGACGCAAGUCUGACGGAGCAACGCCGCGUGAGUGAAGAAGGAUUUCGGUUCGUAAAACUCUGUUGUUAGAGAAGAACAGCGCAUAGAGUAACUGUUAUGCGUGUGACGGUAUCUAACCAGAAAGCCACGGCUAAAUACGUGCCAGCAGCCGCGGUAAUACGUAGGUCCCGAGCGUUGUCCGGAAUUAUUGGGCGUAAAGGGUACGCAGGCGGUUUAAUAAGUCGAAUGUUAAAGAUCGGGGCUCAACCCCGUAAAGCAUUGGAAACUGAUAAACUUGAGUAGUGGAGAGGAAAGUGGAAUUCCUAGUGUAAUGGUGAAAUACGUAGAUAUUAGGAGGAAUACCAGUAGCGAAGGCGACUUUCUGGACACAAACUGACGCUGAGGUACGAAAGCGUGGGGAGCAAACAGG
rnacentral:rRNA from 1 species